UGUAAAACCUUUGACACAGUCCCCCACACCAUCCUUUUCUCUAAAUUAGAGAGAAGUGGAUCUGAUGAGUGAACUGGUUUGACAGCUGCAU